ACAAUAUUAAGAACAAAAGCGUUGUCUAAGACCUAUACAUAUAAGUAAAUAGUACUCACAAACCAUUGUCUAAAGCACAAUCACUCGAGAAUCUCAAAAUAAAAACUGUUGUAGAAAAUGUUUCACACAAUUGUUCCAACAUAGAAAGUAUUGUUAUAUGGAGGCUUACACAAGUGGUCAUUCCUCCUAGACCAUUGUACAAGAUAGCAAAACACGAGCCCUAAUAACAGAACAAUACUUGUCUAAAGCAAUAUCACUCGAGAAUCUCAAAACAAAAACUGUUGUAGAAAAGGAUUCACACAAUAGUUCUAGUAUAAAAAGUAUUGUGAUAUGGACCCUUACACAAGUGGCCACUUCUGUCGGACCAUUGUACAAGAAAGCAACACACGAGCUGUAGUAACAGAACUAAACUUGUCUGAUACUCUUAUCAACAACUGGGUAAACCCGUGAACUGUUGUGGAUACUCUUAAUAACAACACGAAUUGAAAACAAGUCUGUUGUUGUUAAUGGUUUACAACAACACCUUGUAAAAUGAUUCCGUUGUCGUUCAACGGUUUAACACAACACGCAGUUAAACAUAAACCGAUGUGUUUCUUCAUC
rnacentral:lncRNA from 1 species